GGCGUAGUGGCUGAGUAGUAAAGCGCUUGGUUCCGAACCGGGGGGUCCACGGGUUCAAAUCUCGUCGAAGACU
rnacentral:tRNA from 1 species